rnacentral:rRNA from 1 species
AAGCGCUUGCAGCCAGACUUGCCUGUAGUUGCUUACCUAGACUUUUGUCUGGGGUACUCUUCUGCAGGCAGGCCAGCAUCAGUUUGGGCGGUUGGAUAAAGGUCUCUGUCACGUACCUCCUUUCGGGGAGUGUUAUAGCCCACCGUGUAAUACCCUGGGGGGGACUGAGGUUCGCGCAUCUGCAAGGAUGCUGGCGUAAUGG